rnacentral:rRNA from 1 species
AGAACGAACGCUGGCGGCAUGCCUAAUACAUGCAAGUCGAACGAGACCUUCGGGUCUAGUGGCGCACGGGUGCGUAACGCGUGGGAAUCUACCCUUGGGUUCGGAAUAACAGUUGGAAACGACUGCUAAUACCGGAUGAUGACGAAAGUCCAAAGAUUUAUCGCCCAGGGAUGAGCCCGCGUAGGAUUAGCUAGUUGGUGAGGUAAAGGCUCACCAAGGCUACGAUCCUUAGCUGGUCUGAGAGGAUGAUCAGCCACACUGGGACUGAGACACGGUCCAGACUCCUACGGGAGCAGCAGUGGGGAAUAUUGGACAAUGGGCGCAAGCCUGAUCCAGCCAUACCGCGUGGGUGAAGAAGGCCUUACGGGUUGU